UGAAUCGCUAGUAAUCGCGGAUCAGCACGCCGCGGUGAAUACGUUCCCGGGCCUUGUACACACCGCCCGUCACACCAUGGAAGUCUGCAAUGCCCAAGGCCGGUGGCCUAACCUUCGGGAAGGAGCCGUCUAAGGCAGGGCAGAUGACUGGGGUGAAGUCGUAACAAGGUAGCCGUAGGAGAACCUGCGGCUGGAUCACCUCCUUU
rnacentral:rRNA from 1 species